CCUACGGGUGGCAGCAGUGGGGAAUAUUGCACAAUGGGGGAAACCCUGAUGCAGCGACGCCGCGUGAGUGAAGAAGUAUUUCGGUACGUAAAGCUCUAUCAGCAGGGAAGAAAAAAAGUCCUUUGGACUUUGGACGGUACUGGACCAAGAAGCCCCGGCUAACUACGUGACAGCAGCCGCGGUAAUACGUAGGGGGCAAUCGGUAUCCGGAUUUACUGGGUGUUAAGGGAGCGUAGACGGCAGCGCAAGGCUGGAGUGAAAUGCCGGGGCCCAACCCCGGAACUGCUUUGGAAACUGUGCAGCUGGAGUGCAGGAGAGGUAAGCGGAAUUCCUAGUGUAGCGGUGAAAUGCGUAGAUAUUAGGAGGAACACCAGGGGCGAAGGCGGCUUACUGGACUGUAACUGACGUUGAGGCUCGAAAGCGUGGGGAGCAAACAGGAUUAGAUACCCUUGUAGUG
rnacentral:rRNA from 1 species